rnacentral:rRNA from 1 species
GGCCAGACUCCUACGGGAGGCAGCAGUGGGGAAUAUUGCACAAUGGGGGAAACCCUGAUGCAGCGACGCCGCGUGAGUGAAGAAGUAUUUCGGUAUGUAAAGCUCUAUCAGCAGGGAAGAAAAAAGACGGUACCUGACUAAGAGGCCCCGGCUAACUACGUGCCAGCAGCCGCGGUAAUACGUAGGGGGCAAGCGUUAUCCGGAAUUACUGGGUGUAAAGGGUGCGUAGGUGGCAUGGUAAGUCAGAAGUGAAAGCCCGGGGCUUAACCCCGGGACUGCUUUUGAAACUGUCAUGCUGGAGUGCAGGAGAGGUAAGCGGAAUUCCUGGUGUAGCGGUGAAAUGCGUAGAUAUUAGGAGGAACACCAGUGGCGAAGGCGGCUUACUGGACUGUCACUGACACUGAUGCACGAAAGCGUGGGGAGCAAACAGGAUUAGAUACCCUAGUAA